CUUCACCGAGCCCAGCCACAGCGGCUGUUCGCGGUCCUGCCCGUACGUCGCCAGCAGCGCCUGGGCCUC
rfam:Streptomyces rubellomurinus strain ATCC 31215 contig-89, whole genome shotgun sequence.